rnacentral:rRNA from 1 species
UUUACACUGCACGCAAGUGCGAUAAGGGGACUCCGAGUGCGAGGGCAUAUAGUCCUCGCUUUUGAGAACCGUAAGGCGGUUCUCGAAUAAGAGCUGGGCAAGACCGGUGCCAGCCGCCGCGGUAAUACCGGCAGCUCAAGUGAUGGCCAAUCUUAUUGGGCCUAAAGCGUCCGUAGCUGGCCGUGAAAGUUCGUCGGGAAAUCCAUCCGCUCAACGGAUGGGCGUCCGGCGAAAACUUCACGGCUUGGGACCGGAAGGCUCGAGGGGUACGUCCGGGGUAGGAGUGAAAUCCCGUAAUCCUGGACGGACCGCCGAUGGCGAAAGCACCUCGAGAAGACGGAUCCGACAGUGAGGGACGAAAGCUAGGGUCUCGAACCGGAUUAG